CCUAUCACUGCACGCCCAAAAUAAAAAGAUCAAAAUCCGAACAGAAGAAGAAUAAGAAGAAAAUGCAAUUGUGAUCUCGAGCUUAAUCCCAUCGCGAGACCUUCAGGUAUAUCAGCAGCAAUCACAGCCAGCUCGGCCAGCAGCCACAGACAAUACUUCACUAAAACAGGGUACUCUGCCUUGCACAGUUCAGCCAGUCACUCCUAGAUUUGCCGAUAGAGAUUGGAUAAUGAGGGCGAAAACCAGUCCGAUCAGAAUCACCCACAGGAGCUCGUAUCUGUGAUCCGCUCCUGCUUGUAGGUCAGUCUCCACUGUAACGAAGAUAAGAAACAUGAGCAAGGUAAGACAGACGAAUGCAUUUGGAGAAUGAGAGAGAUGUUUACAAUUUCCAGGAUCGAGGUAAGCCAAGGAGACCAGAAAGCCAGGGCCGACAUGAGCGAGGAACCUCUUCCAACCAGGUGCCUGCCAUUUUUCAUGAUCGAUCUCGUCAAGGAACUAAAUUGCAUUCUAAGGAGGAGGAAGAAGGAGUAAUGGACCUGGUGCUGGGGUUCUGCUUGCCUCACCGUGCUGACACCAUUCACCUCCAUUGUUUUAUUUUGUUUUGCUUUGCUUUCUUGCUACUUGCAGUGAUGUUACACUUGUUCGUGGCCUUCUUAUAUAUAUCAUUCUUGGGAGCUUAAAAUAAAUGUAAA